rnacentral:misc_RNA from 1 species
UGUUUGGACAUUGGCUAUGGGUUAUAUCCGCCGAUUUUAUACCAUUAAAUGACUGGGUGGAAGAUGGAAAAUCUAGGUACAUUAAGUUUUUCAACCAAUGAUGUUCUAGUAACAUGCUUGCUGAUGGCCUGUCCACGGGAUUUCUUUGAAAGCAGCAACUUAGAAAAUCCUUGCCCUCAGGCGACAGCGUUUCAGGUAUUGGUGGGAUAUCCCUCAGAACUUUAAACAUGGCUGCAGCCCCCUCAUAAUCACUCCAAGGAGGUUUUCCUGUAAACAUUUCAAUAAUAGUACAGCCCAGACUCCAAAUAUCAACUGCAAGUGCAAGGUCAGAGUUGGUAUCCUUCUGCAUUACAGCUUGCAUAAGCUCUGGAGCCAUCCAGUAUGGACUUCCCUUCAA